GAUGAACGCUGGCGGCGUGCUUAACACAUGCAAGUCGAACGGAAAGGCCCAAGCUUGCUUGGGUACUCGAGUGGCGAACGGGUGAGUAACACGUGGGUGAUCUGCCCUGCACUUCGGGAUAAGCCUGGGAAACUGGGUCUAAUACCGGAUAGGACCACAUUUUGGAUGGUGUGGUGGAAAGUUUUUCGGUGUGGGAUGAGCUCGCGGCCUAUCAGCCUGUUGGUGGGGGAAUGGCCUACCAAGGCGUCGACGGGUAGCCGGCCUGAGAGGGUGCACGGCCACAUUGGGACUGGGAUACGGCCCAGACUCCUACGGGAGGCAGCAGUGGGGAAUAUGGCACAAUGGGCGCAAGCCUGAUGCAGCGACGCCGCGUGGGGGAUGACGGCCUUCGGGUUGUAGACUCCUUUCGCUAGGGACGAAGCGUUUUUGUGACGGUACCUGGAGAAGAAGCACCGGCUAACUACGUG
rnacentral:rRNA from 1 species